CACUCUAUGGAUACUAUGCAAUAAUGAGAAUGAAUAAUCUGUGUCUACAUAAAACUGAGUGCAUCUAACAAACAAUAUAUUUGAAUGAAACAUAUCAGACAUGAAAGAGUACUGAUGGUUCUCAUUUUCAAAGAGUAUGAAACAGCAGGUUUCUUCUAAUAACAAGAAGAAUGGAGACACAUGAUAUUAGAAUCUAGUGUGCCAAAAGCAACCAGAGAGAACCAAGGACAAGAGUUUAAUGAUAACUACAAACAUCGCUUCUUCUGCUGCUCUGAUGCCAAAACCUCAGAAUGAGGUGUGUGUGCGGGGUUCUGGGGCAUACUACACCCCUGUUCCCGAGAAGAAGGAGCAGGUGAGGAGGCAAGCAGGGAGACCAUAGAGACCCAACACCCACUUGGAGCAUAGAGAAGAUUAGAUGUAAAGGAUCUACUACCUAUUGUCUCAGGGAAAAUAACCUUUCCUCCUAGCAGAGACAUGAAUGGGAGAGGAAAUUUUGAGUUGCACCACCCUCAAGUUCUAACACUCAGUAUCUCAGAAUGUGAAUGUAUCUGGAGACAGGACCUUUAAAGAGGAAAUUCAGUUCAAAUGAGGCCCCAUUCUGUGUGUCUGUACCCUUAGAAGAAGAGGAGGGCAGGACACAGAUAUGUACAGAAGGAAGACCAUAUGCAUAUGGGGAAAAGACAGCCAUUGGCAAAUCAGAGUAGGCUUUUCAAGAAAGCAACCCUGAAGAUAUCUUGACCUCUGACAUCCAACCUCC